rnacentral:rRNA from 1 species
UACAGAGGUUGCAAGCGUUAAUCGGAUUUACUGGGCGUAAAGCGUGUGUAGGUGGUUAUACAAGUCGGUUGUGAAAUCCCCGGGCUCAACCUGGGAACUGCUUCCGAGACUGCAUGACUAGAGAUCGGUAGAGGGCGGUGGAAUUCCCGGUGUAGCGGUGAAAUGCGCAGGUAUCGGGAGGAACACCAAUGGCGAAGGCAGCUCGCUGGGACGGUACUGACGCUGAGACGCGAAAGCGUGGGGAGCAAACAGG